ACGGAAGGCAGCAGUGGGGAAUAUUGCACAAUGGGGGAAACCCUGAUGCAGCAACGCCGCGUGAAGGAAGACGGUCUUCGGAUUGUAAACUUCUGUUCUUAGUGAAGAUAAUGACGGUAGCUAAGGAGCAAGCCACGGCUAACUACGUGCCAGCAGCCGCGGUAAUACGUAGGUGGCAAGCGUUAUCCGGAUUUACUGGGUGUAAAGGGCGCGUAGGCGGGGAAGCAAGUCAGAUGUGAAAUCCAUGGGCUCAACCCAUGAACUGCAUUUGAAACUGUUUCUCUUGAGUGCUGGAGAGGUAGAUGGAAUUCCUAGUGUAGCGGUGAAAUGCGUAGAUAUUAGGAAGAACACCAGUGGCGAAGGCGAUCUACUGGACAGUAACUGACGCUGAGGCGCGAAAGCGUGGGGAGCAAACAGGAUUAGAUACCCUGGUA
rnacentral:rRNA from 1 species